CUCUCUCUCUACUUCCCUCUCUUUCUUUCUCUCCGUCCCUCAUGUCCUCCUUACCUCCUGCCCUCUAUUUCCCUCCCAACCUCACACCCUCCUUAUCUCUCUCUCUAUCUCUCUCCAGAAGAAUGAGUGUUCUCCUGAGUCCUGGGUGACUGUUACUACUGUGUGUCCGGUCUGCCAAACACCAUCCCCACCCAUGCUAGGAACUGUGUUCAGAUGGGGCUUUACAUUAAACUACGGGAGGCUACAGGUGUGGAGAUCAGUAUGAGAGUGGGCGUGCACUCCAGCAACAUUCUCUGUGGCGUAAUUGGUCUACAGAAGUGGCAGUACGAUGUCUGUUCACAUGACGUGACCCUGGCCAAUCAUAUGGAGUCUGGGGGCAUGCCAGGGCGUGUCCACAUCACAGAGGAGACACUGGGUCACUUAGCUGGGGCAUUCCAAGUGGACACUGACGGGGGGAACUGGGACUUUCUGCUAAAGGGGAGGAAAACCUACCUGGUGGUCGACCCACAUAAGGAAGAGACGACCUCUAAGAAGAAGGAAGAGAGGUUGAGCUCUAAGGUGUCCAGUGGAUUUUGGCUCUUUCGCACAGAUUGGCCACCAGGGCGGCGCUACAACUACUACUGGUCUGCUUCUGUCUCCUCAUCACCCUGCUCAUGGCUAUACUGAACGUUCUCUUUUUUCCUGGAAACAACCGUACGUCAAACUCCUACGACAAAACACCACUACAUAACCUCCCCCUAUACACUGUCCCUGGCUGUGAUGUGUCCUACAGCCAUGUGCGCAGCAUGGUAGAGUUUGCCAUCGCUCUGAAGAACAACCUGGAGUCCAUCAACCAACACUCCUUCAACAGCUUCAAACUACGAAUCGUUGAGUCUGGUGUAGGUGGCCAGCGGCUGGCUGGCCAGUGGGACAAGGAAAUAUGACUAAUUUAAUCUUUACUCGAUUCCUUGUCGUCUCUCCUUGCCUGAUUCUCAAAAUGUAAUGGAGAAGAAAGUCAGAGGGAAGGGACCUUCUCCUUCAGUAAGGUUGAGGAUGCACAGAAUCAAGGAAAGACUAAAAGAGAUUGAGCCUUAACUUUGUAACCAUCUCCCCAUUCCAACUCACGUUCUAAUGUUCUCUUUAAAAUGGAUAAACCACGGUCCAAACCACAGUAUGAUAUCUGGGGGAACUUUGU